rnacentral:rRNA from 1 species
GACGAACGCUGGCGGCGUGCCUAAUACAUGCAAGUAGAACGCACAGUUUAUACCGUAGCUUGCUACACCAUAAACUGUGAGUUGCGAACGGGUGAGUAACGCGUAGGUAACCUGCCUGGUAGCGGGGGAUAACUAUUGGAAACGAUAGCUAAUACCGCAUAAUAUUAAUUAUUGCAUGAUAAUUGAUUGAAAGAUGCAAUUGCAUCACUACCAGAUGGACCUGCGUUGUAUUAGCUAGUAGGUGAGGUAACGGCUCACCUAGGCGACGAUACAUAGCCGACCUGAGAGGGUGAUCGGCCACACUGGGACUGGGACACGGCCCAGACUCCUAAGGGAGGCAGCAGUAGGGAAUCUUCGGAAAUGGACGAAAGUCUGACCGAGCAACGCCGCGUGAGUGAAGAAGGUUUUCGGAUCGUAAAGCUCUGUUGUAAGAGAAGAACGGGUGUGAGAGUGGAAAGUUCACGCUGUGACGGUAUCUUACCAGAAAGCGACGGCUAACUACGUG